GAGAUGGAUGGUGAAGGGGGUGUGAUGUGACUAGGCCACAGAGGGCUCUGUCCCCAAACCCAGCCCGGCGACCCUGGGCUACCUGAGGAUGGACAGGAAGCCCCUGGUCCCUUCCGGCAGACCAGGGACUGGGAUCAGAAGGACGUUCCGGGAGGACUGCUCGAAAAUGCCAUGACAAUACUGGGUUGGAAAUGAUGAAUUUGAGGCAGGGGAUUAGGAAAGGAAGGAUCCUGAAGGAUGAGAGGACCCUGGCCAGGCCACGAAGUGGGGCCCGCCAAGCAGAGGGACAGCAAGAGCAAAGGCCUGGUGGGAUGCAAGGUCUCGAAGGAGCUGUUUGGGUGCCCAUUGGCCAGCAUAGCACCAGGGAUCCUGAGGAAGAGGCCCGAAAAACCACACAACGAUACAGCAAGGUUACUAGCAGAUGGAGAUGAAAAUGUCACCCCAAAGCCCAAACUCAAGGAUGCAUGGCCCCCUCUCCUCCUCACCCGGAACCUCCAAUCCUGUUUCCACUUGGGGAGUUACCAGGUCUUCAAGUGCCCCCUGAAACACACUGGCCUUUCAAUAAAGCCGUUAGCCUCUGUU